UCUUUACCAUUGGUCGAUGCUAAAAAGACGGUGCUAAAUCGACGUAGAAGGAUGGUUAUUCAUAAUUUCCAGCGUAAAAGAGCUAGAGUUCCUCUCCAUGGGCCGCCAUUUACUGAGAAGCUGGUCUUUCUCGGAACUCAUAUCGAUGGAAGGUCAUGGUUCGAUUCGCUAGGAUCUUGGAGUUCAGAAGUGCAAAUAAGAAGACUAUUUACACAAUCGAUUUCGUGGUCGUUGAUCAACAGAAAUCCACGAUGGAAGGUUUAAUCCCAGCCAACAGAAUUGAACAGUUUAAAGACAAGUUAAAAGAAGGCUGUGUGUACACCAUUGAUAGAUUUGACCUGUUUGAUCCAAAAAAAAAAAAGCUAUCGGUCGGUGGAUAAUCCUUUAAGGAUCGCCUUCACUAUGAGAACUAUCUUGACAGAGGUUAUUCCAUCACCACAUAACUUCCCUAUGUUUGCCUAUACUGCUCUUCCCUUCAACAUGUUGACAGAUCGAGUUGGUGAUAUCAUAACCUUAUUUGACAUUGUUGGAUUAGUGACCAAGGUGACGCCCAUAUUACCUCCAUCUGGAAAAGCUAAAAGUCAGAAGCGCCAGAUGGCAG